UACGAAGGGUGCAACCGUUGCUCGGAAUCAUUGGGCGUAAAGCGCACGUAGGCGGCCUCGCAAGUCGGAUGUGAAAUACCUAGGCUCAACCAAGGACGUGCAUCCGAAACUGCAAGGCUUGAGUACAGAAGAGGAUCGCGGAAUUCCCGGUGUAGAGGUGAAAUUCGUAGAUAUCGGGAGGAACACCAGUGGCGAAGGCGGCGAUCUGGGCUGAUACUGACGCUGAGGUGCGAAAGCGUGGGGAGCAAACAGG
rnacentral:rRNA from 1 species